rnacentral:rRNA from 1 species
AGAGACAGCAGUCGCCGCGGUAAAACGGAGGGGGCUAGCGUUGUUCGGAAUUACUGGGCGUAAAGCGCACGUAGGCGGCUUUGUAAGUUAGAGGUGAAAGCCCGGAGCUCAACUCCGGAAUUGCCUUUAAGACUGCAGAGCUAGCAGGUGAGAGAGGUGAGUGGAAUUCCGAGUGUAGAGGUGAAAUUCGUAGAUAUUCGGAAGAACACCAGUGGCGAAGGCGGCUCACUGGCUCAUACUGGACGCUGAGGUGCGAAAGCGUGGGGAGCAAACAGGAUUAGAUACCCGGGUAGUCCCUGUCUCUUAUAC